rnacentral:rRNA from 1 species
AAUGGGCGCAAGCCUGAUCCAGCCAUGCCGCGUGAGUGAUGAAGGCCCUAGGGUCGUAAAGCUCUUUCGCCUGUGAAGAUAAUGACGGUAGCAGGUAAAAAAACCCCGGCUAACUCCGUGCCAGCAGCCGCGGUAAUACGGAGGGGGUUAGCGUUGUUCGGAAUUACUGGGCGUAAAGCGCACGUAGGCGGAUUAGUCAGUCAGAGGUGAAAUCCCAGGGCUCAACCCUGGAACUGCCUUUGAUACUGCUAGUCUUGAGUUCGAGAGAGGUAAGUGGAAUUCCGAGUGUAGAGGUGAAAUUCGUAGAUAUUCGGAGGAACACCAGUGGCGAAGGCGGCUUACUGGCUCGAUACUGACGCUGAGGUGCGAAAGUGUGGGGAGCAAACAGGAUU